rnacentral:rRNA from 1 species
AUUGAACGCUGGCGGUAUGCUUAACACAUGCAAGUCGAACGGUAGCAGGCCUUCGGGCGCUGACGAGUGGCGCACGGGUGAGUAACGCGUGGAUAACCUGCCCUGGUAUCUGGGAUAACAUCUCGAAAGGGGUGCUAAUACCGGAUAAGCCUCCGGGAUCUUCGGAUUCUGCAGGAAAAGAAGGCCUCUAUUUAUAAGCUUUCGUAUCAGGAUGGGUCCGCGUACCAUUAGCUAGUUGGUGGGGUAAUGGCCUACCAAGGCGACGAUGGUUAGCUGGUCUGAGAGGAUGAUCAGCCACACUGGAACUGAGACACGGUCCAGACUCCUACGGGAGGCUG